CUAGGCUCAAGUGAUUCCGCCCACCUCUGCCUCCCAAAGUGCUGGGAUUACGGGCAUGAGCCAGCGCAUCUGGCCACCUUAUUUUCUAUUACUGGCUCAAUGUAAUGGCUCCAUCUCAGGAACAGCCAAUGAAAGAGAUGCACAGGACAAGAAACAGGACCUUGCCCUGUCACUCAGGAUGGAGUUCAGUGGUCCUAUCAUGGCUCAUUAUAGCCUCAAACUCCCAGGCUCAAGCAAUCCUACCAUGUCAGCCUUCCCAGUAGCUGGGACUACAGGUCUCACACUGUCACCCAGGCUGGAGUACAGUGGCACAACCUCUGCUCACUGCAGCCUCCACCUGCCAGGCUCAAGCAAUUCUCCUGCCUCAGCCUCCCGAGUAGCUGGGAUUACAGGAAGUGAGCUCACAAUGACUCAAGCUGCCACAUACUGUUGAUUGUGAAAUGCCAGUUGAAGCAUAUGUCCUGCGAGCUUAGGGGUGCUACAAGUUGACCACUGCAGCAGUAAAGAUGACUCUGAAGAAUGGCGUGGGUUGGUUCCUUUCAAAUGCACUUGAGCAGUGGUCUCCAACCACAGGGCCACAGAGCUGGAGGUGAGCAGCAGCUGGAUCUACCAUGAAAGACUUGUGAAUCCAGGAAGAGAGACUGACUGGGCAACAUGUUAUUCAGGGUCUCCCUCUGUUGUCCAAGGCUGGAGUGUAGUAGUGCUAUCGCAGCUGACUGCAGCCUCAACCUUCCAGGCUGAAGCGAUCCUCCCACCUCAACCUCCCACGUGGCUGAGACUACAGGUGCUUGCCACUAUGCCCAACUAACAUUUGGAAUUUUCGUAUACGUGGAUUCCAGAGGGGUGACAGCGAAACGUGGGACCAUCCAGUUGCAGGAAAACAAGCUUAACACGCCCACUAAUUCUACAUUAUGCUCCUACCUCCCGGCAGCCUCUCCAGGCCCAGAACUUUCUCCAGUCAGCCUCUACAGACCAAGCUCAUGACUCACAAU
rnacentral:lncRNA from 10 species